UCGAUCUACGGAGAUGGCAUUCUCCGCCAACCGCCGCGCCCUCAGGCCCGGCUGAUGAUGCCUGCAGCCGU
rnacentral:ncRNA from 2 species